UGGCUAACUCCUACGGGAGGCAGCAGUGGGGAAUAUUGGACAAUGGGCGAAAGCCUGAUCCAGCCAUGCUGCGUGUGUGAAGAAGGUCUUCGGAUUGUAAAGCACUUUACGUUGGGAGGAAGGGUUGUAGGCUAAUACCCUGCAAUUUUGACGUUACCAACAGAAUAAGCACCGGCUAACUUCGUGCCAGCAGCCGCGGUAAUACGAAGGGUGCAAGCGUUAAUCGGAAUUACUGGGCGUAAAGCGCGCGUAGGUGGUUCAGCAAGUUGGAUGUGAAAGCCCCGGGCUCAACCUGGGAACUGCAUCCAAAACUACUGAGCUAGAGUACGGUAGAGGGUGGUGGAAUUUCCUGUGUAGCGGUGAAAUGCGUAGAUAUAGGAAGGAACACCAGUGGCGAAGGCGACCACCUGGACUGAUACUGACACUGAGGUGCGAAAGCGUGGGGAGCAAACAGGAUUAGAUACCCGUGUAGUCCAGCUGG
rnacentral:rRNA from 1 species